GUUUGAUCCUGGCUGAGGAUGAACGCUGGCGGCGUGCUUAACACAUGCAAGUCGAACGAUGAUCUCCAGCUUGCUGGGGGGAUUAGUGGCGAACGGGUGAGUAACACGUGAGUAACCUGCCCUUGACUCUGGGAUAAGCCUGGGAAACUGGGUCUAAUACCGGAUAUGACCAUCUGGCGCAUGUCAUGGUGGUGGAAAGCUUUUUUGUGGUUUUGGAUGGACUCGCGGCCUAUCAGCUUGUUGGUGGGGUAAUGGCCUACCAAGGCGACGACGGGUAGCCGGCCUGAGAGGGUGACCGGCCACACUGGGACUGAGACACGGCCCAGACUCCUACGGGAGGCAGCAGUGGGGAAUAUUGCACAAUGGGCGCAAGCCUGAUGCAGCGACGCCGCGUGAGGGA
rnacentral:rRNA from 1 species